rnacentral:lncRNA from 1 species
CCCCGAAUUUUGAAUAUCACUUUUGCUUUAUAAGUAAAUCUUCAUUUCGAGGAAGCAAUUAUGUCAUGCCCAAUACGUUAGGACAUAACAAAUUAAGUUCCCAAAAAUGAUUUUUACUUAUAUAUUUUAAAUAACGAAUAUUCUCAGUUAUUUGGAAUUAACAAAGAAAAUUGGAACCCAAUGCGUUAGGGCUCAAUUUUCUUCGAAAAUCCCUAACUUUGAAUAUCGUUUUUAUUUUGAAAACCCUUGAAUCAUAAAAAAUUGAUUUUAAUAUUUUGACAAAAUCAAAAUGUAUUUUAAAAAUAUGUUAAAAAUGUUAAUGCAAUAUGAAACAAAUAUUUUAAUUUAAAUUAUGCAUAUUUAUAAGUAUAAUAUAUAAACAAUUUUAGCAAAUACGUAUAGGAAUAUGAGGGGAAAGGAAAAAAAAUGCGUAAGUCAUAAAAAUAAUAAUAAAAUAAAAUACACAUAAAAUAUAUUAAUACAUGUUUUUUUUUUAAAAAUGUAUAAAUAUAAUGUAUUAGUAAAUAUAAAAACAUGGAAAAUGUUUAUAAAAGCCUUGAAAAGAAUGCAAAAAUAUAUGUACAUAUUAUAAAAUGUAUAUACAUAUGAAUUAUAAAACAUGAAAACAUAAAUAUUAUUAUAUAAAAAAUGAAUGUAUAUAAAAUAUGGACGAACUAUAAAAAUAAAAUAUAUGGGAAUAAAAAUAUAUAUACGUACUACCUAUAUAUUUAAAACAUUUAUAAUAUAUAUGUAUAUUAAUAUAUAUAUAUAGGCGAACACAUAUAAAUACAAUAAUAAUAAUAUAAUAAUUAUAAUAAUAAACAAUAUAAACAAUAUAAUAAAAAUAAACUAAAAAAAACAAAUUAAGGACUAAAUUAAAAUGCCAAACAGAAGUUGGGAGCUAAAUUUGAAAAUAAAAACAAGAAAGGGAGUAAAUUUAAACAGGUGCAAUAGAUAAAGGACCGAAAGAGCAAUUUUCCAACCCGCCCUAAAGCGCUGCACACUAUUGGACCAAUUUGAAACAAAAAUAAAAUGUGCAGUAAAAUUUAAAAGAGAUAAAUUGAAAAACACCCUAAAAUCAUGAGGACUAAUUGCGAAAAUAUCUCUUUUUGAACCCUUAUAAAACCUCAUUUUUAAAACCCUAAAGUCAUUCCCUUUCUCUGCCAUUUGAAGUUGCGCUGUAGCUUCCUCUCUUUUCAGCCAUUCAAGCCCCAUUUUCGACCAGCAACGGCGAUGUGAGGGCAUUCCGACGACACCCCAACGGUAAGUCCUCCUUUCCUUCUUUUCUUUAUUUAUUUUUGUUUUAGGAUAACAAAAGAAAAACAAAAUAAAGUAAAAACAGUAAAAUGAACAAAGAAAAAUAAAAAUCUGUCACCUUCAAAAUCCUUGCUUUUUUUUUCCUUGUAUUUUCUUUUUCCUUUUUUUUCCAGUACAAAAUUUGCUAACCCCUUUUACAAAUUUGAUUUGACUUUAAAUAGCCAAAAUAACGAAAAGAAAAACCCCCGAAAACCUCUUUUCCACCCUUUACAGUUCGUGGUUGUUGCAGGUACGAGCGUGUGGCGUGCGUGGAGUGUUGAACGUGGGACGGUGCGAAGGCUGCCGAACGUGGGGCAUGUGGCGCUGCUAAUUGCUGCUAGGGUUUCUGCUGUUUUAGGCCAAUUGGGCCCUGUAAUUGGGUUUAGCUUGGCCCAAGUUUU